CGCUAGCGUAUAUUAAAGUUGUUGCAGUUAAAAAGCUCGUAGUUGAACCUUGGGCUUGGCUGGCCGGUCCGCCUCACCGCGUGCACUGGUCCGGCCGAGCCUUUCCUUCUGGGGAACCGCAUGGCCUUCGCUGGCCGUGUCGGGGAACCAGGACUUUUACUUUGAAAAAAUUAGAGUGUUCAAAGCAGGCCUUUGCUCGAAUACAUUAGCAUGGAAUAAUAGAAUAGGACGGCCCUCCUAUUUUGUUGGUUUCUAGGGGAGCCGUAAUGAUUAACAGGGACAGUCGGGGGCAUCGGUAUUCAAUUGUCAGAGGUGAAAUUCUUGGAUUUAUUGAAGACCAACUACUGCGAAAGCAUUUGCCAAGGAUGUUUUCAUUAA
rnacentral:rRNA from 1 species